AUUGAACGCUGGCGGCAGGCCUAACACAUGCAAGUCGAGCGAGCGGCGGACGGGUGAGUACUGGCUGGGAAACUGCCUGAUGGAGGGGGAUAACUACGGGAAACGGUUGCUAAUAACGCAUACCAUCAGAUGUGGCCAGUUGGGAUUAGCUAGUAGGUGGGGUAAAGGCUCACCUAGGCGACGAUCCCUAGCUGGUCUGAGAGGAUGACCAGCCACACUGGAACUGAGACACGGUCCAGACUCCUACGGGAGGCAGCAGUGGGGAAUAUUGCACAAUGGGCGCAAGCCUGAUGCAGCCAUGCCGCGUGUAUGAAGAAGGCCUUCGGGUUGUAAAGUACUUUUAUCGGGGAGGCGGUACCCGCAGAAGAAGCACCGGCUAACUCCGUGCCAGCAGCCGCGGUAAUAC
rnacentral:rRNA from 1 species